rnacentral:rRNA from 1 species
AUGAAGGAGCUAGGUCUUCGGGAGGAGGAUCUCGACGACGUGAUUUUUGAUGAGAAGGAGGCUCCGGUCGAGGCGGCGCGCUGGAUAGCGUUGGCUAGGGUUCACUCGCCCAAGACAUAUAGCCAGUAUUGGUUCUUCAAAAACAUGAGAGCCGCGUGGGAUCUUGCCCAAGAUGUUCAGUUCAAGCCCCCUGAGGAUAAUCUCUAUAUUGUGCAAUUCUCCUGCUUGGGGGAUUGGGAAAGAGUAACGAGGGACGGACCUGGCACUUCCGAGGAGAUGCUGUCAUCCUCAAGCCAUAUGAUGGAUUGA